AGUAAGUAGUCUACUCUCGCGUGUCAUGCGUGCGACAGCUGCUUCUUCUGUUGGCUAACCCUUGGAGUUGCCGGGAGGAUGCUGCUGACUCUCAGCGAGGAGAACGAGGACCCGGAGAAAAUCCUCUAGGAGCUUACUCUCCUCACCUCCUCUUCUUCUUCGCCGUUGGACUUAUUCUUCAGUUCCGUUCUGUUUGACCGCCGAUGUAUUGACACGAGCUUUCAAUCAACAUCCCUGUGUAGGUCCGCUGGCUUUUUUUCCGGGCAGUAGCAACAGUAGCAGCAGCAGCUUUUGAAGGGGAGGAGCACAAGCGCAUUCCUCUUAUCAGAGAGCAGUCGCUCUCUUGCCGCGGCACGGCGAGGCAACGAGGACGGACGGACGAACGGACGUACGUACGUACGUACGUUGUCUAUCGAGUAAACGCCCGCCGAAGUGAAAAAGCCAGUCGGCGCUGCGCAGCCAAAGCGCGCACUCACACGCGCGCGCGCGCGUGACGCCCGAUUGUGACGAGAUCUUUUCGACUUUUAAUCCCGAGCGCGAGAGUGUCAGCCAGUUGAGAAGAUGCUCGGACUGAUGAACGUGCAGUGCCGCCCGUAGCAGCGACCAGUGCGCGAUCGCAACUCUGCAGCCAUGAGCUUCUCGACACACAAACCGUGGAUGCAGCCAGGGGCUGGAACCGGCGGUGGUGGCGGUGGCCACCAAGCGCCGACUGGACAAGCUGGUGGUGGUGGCGGCACUGGCGAUGACGAGGCACCCAAAGACCCUGGUGCGCGGAUUACUCAUGCCUCCUACACAGAAAAGGACUUUGAAGGUCACCGAGCGCACACGGUCUACGUGGGUGUGCACCUGCCCGGCGAGCGCAGGCAUCGUCGCCACCACAAGCAUCAUCAUUCCAAGGGUGGUAAUGGCAACGGCAAGGACGAAACGGACCUCGACAGGCCCAGGCAGCAAUUGCUGAUGGCUCGAAGGGGUCGACUCGCGAGUAUCUGCGACCCCGACGGCGAGUUCAUAUUAACGCCACCGGCCCAACGCGUCCAAUUCAUUCUGGGCGAAGAUGUCGGGGACGACGCCCAUGAGUCGCACCCGCUGUUUUCCGAGAUGGAGGAGCUGGUUAGAGACGGCGACGAGAUGGAGUGGAAGGAGACCGCCAGAUGGAUCAAGUUCGAGGAGGAUGUCGAGGAAGGUGGCAAUCGCUGGAGCAAACCUCACGUGGCGACUCUGUCUCUGCACUCGCUGUUCGAACUGCGCAGUCUGCUGCUCAACGGAACGGUGAUGCUGGACAUGGAGGCUAGCGGCCUCGAGCAAAUCACCGACCUCGUGCUCGACAAUAUGGCCAACAAAAGUGCUCUAUCACUCGACGUUCGCGACAAAGUGCGCGAGGCGCUGCUGGUCAGACACCGACAUCAAUUCGAGAGACGCAAGGACAACAACAUGUCGAGAUUGCCGAUUAUCAGGUCCCUCGCCGAAAUUGGGCGCAAUCACUCAUCAUCCAAGAAUUGUGGAUGUUCAUGUGGUAUGCAUGCCUUGUUGACGUCAGAUUUGCAGGAGCGUCACGGCGACGCUUAUGUGCCGGCCUCCGUGGCCAGGAGUACAAGCUGCCCGAAUCCAAACACGGCUUUACUCUCCAAAGAGGCCAAAGACCUCAAGGGCCCAUAUCUAUUGGUUCCAGUGGAAGAAUCGAAUUCAGCGCCGGCUAUCGCCGCCACGUUGGGUCAGGGCGGCGGGGCAGGACUGAAUCCUUCGAGCGGACGCUUUCUAGCGAUACCCGGUAAUCCUGGUCAAGAGCCCGGAGGUAUGGGUAUGGAUCGCAGUCCUAGCUCAAUGUCCAUCAGCAGAAAUCACAGUGCGAAUGCUUUGGAAAAUGGGGAUGCCAAUCACAGAGGUAAUACGCAUUUCAUGCGCAAAAUACCUCCUGGGGCUGAAGCCAGUAAUAUCCUCGUGGGGGAGGUUGAUUUUCUCGAAAAAACUCUUUCUGCUUUUGUCCGUCUCAGCCAACCUGGUAUCAUGAGUGAUUUGACGGAAGUGCCAGUGCCCACCCGAUUUAUUUUCAUCCUACUUGGUCCGACCGGUGGUAUCGCGAGUUUUCACGAAAUCGGUCGUGCUAUGGCAACGUUGAUGUCGGAUGAGGUCUUCCAUGACGUAGCGUAUAAAGCAAAAAAUAGAAAUCAUUUGUUAGCUGGAAUCGAUGAGUUUUUGGACGCGGUUACUGUUUUACCACCGGGUGAAUGGGACCCGACUAUAAGGAUAGAGCCGCCUGCAGCUAUUCCUUCGCAGGAUACAAGAAAACGUCCGAAAGAAGAAAAAGUUAAGGAAGAUAUAGACGAAGAAGCUGACGAACAAAAACAACGAGAGGAAUCAGGUCUAUCGCGAACGGGAAGGCUUUUCGGAGGACUCGUCAACGACAUUAAACGAAAAGCACCGUUUUACCUGUCUGAUUUCAAAGAUGCCUUAGCUAUCCAAUGUGUUGCUUCAUUUAUCUUUCUUUACUUUGCCUGCUUGUCACCCAUCAUUACAUUUGGUGGACUCUUAAGUGAAGCAACCGGCAAAAAUAUGGCUGCCAUGGAGUCUCUUGUCUCUGGAUUUGUAUGCGGCAUGGGAUACGGCUUCUUUUCCGGCCAACCACUUACCAUUUUAGGGUCUACGGGCCCGGUGCUAGUUUUCGAGACAAUCGUUUUUGAAUUUUGCAAGAAGUAUGACUGGAAUUACAUGUCGUUUAGAUUUUGGAUUGGCACGUGGAUAACUAUUAUUUUAAUUACUCUUGUGGCAAUCGAUGCUAGUGCACUAGUUUGUUACAUAACAAGAUUUACAGAAGAAAAUUUCGCUACUCUGAUUGCCUUUAUUUUUAUUUAUAAAGCCGUGGAAAACGUAUUCGCCAUAGGUAAAAAGUUUCCAAUCAAUACUCACACUAAUGAACUUUUGAAUUGCUGGUGCACCCCUCCAAAUAAUACUUAUAAUACGUACAAUUCAUAUUCAUCGGGUAAUGAUAAAGUCAAUUGGUCUAUCUUAGACAAAGCAACUUGUCAGAGUUACAACGGCACAUUAGUUGGAGAUGGAUGUGUGACACAGAAUUACGUACCCGAUGUAUUUCUGAUGUCAAUUAUUCUUUUUAUGGGUACUUUUAUACUUUCAGUUCAAUUGAAAGAUUUCAAAAAUUCUCUUUUCUUUCCUUCAAAGAUAAGACAAGUCGUAAGUGACUUUGCCGUAAUAAUAGCUAUUCUUUCGAUGAGUCUCCUCGAUCAUUGUGUUGGUAUAAAAACUCCUAAAUUAGAAGUGCCAGUCGAAUUCAAACCGACAUUAGAAGGGCGUGGAUGGUUAAUAUGGCCGUUCAAUAAUAAUCCAUGGUGGAGUGCUCUUGUGGCCGUUGCUCCAGCACUUUUGGGUACAAUUUUGAUUUUCAUGGAUCAACAAAUCACCGCAGUUAUUGUCAACAGGAAAGAAAAUAAAUUGAAGAAAGGGUGCGGUUAUCACUUGGAUUUAUUUGUACUAGCAAUUUUAAUACAAAUCUGUUCUUUAAUGGGACUGCCCUGGUUCGUAGCCGCAACAGUAUUGUCCAUAAACCACGUAAACUCAUUAAAAUUAGAGUCUGAAUGUGCUGCACCUGGUGAAAAACCUCAGUUCCUAGGAGUUCGUGAGCAGCGAAUCACUCAUAUACUGAUUUUUUUAAUGAUCGGUUGUUCGGUUCUGCUGACUCCUAUGUUAAAGCACAUACCAAUGCCGGUGCUCUUUGGUGUAUUUCUGUACAUGGGUGCUGCAUCCCUCAAAGGAUUGCAAUUUUUCGAUAGAAUACUCAUUAUGUUCAUGCCCCAAAAGUAUCAACCAGACUACAUGUUCCUCCGGCAGGUUCCAAUAAAACGAGUUCAUAUGUUUACAAUUAUACAACUCGCUUGCCUUGCCUGCCUUUGGACCAUUAAAUCAUUUAGCUCCACAUCAAUUUUGUUCCCACUUAUGCUCGUAGUAAUGAUCGGCAUAAGAAAAUCCUUAGAUUUAUUGUUCACGCAACGAGAACUGAAAAUUCUGGACGAUGUAAUGCCGGAACAUCACAAGAAACAUGCCGAUGACCUUCGCCAAUUGGAGAGUGGCGAGGAGAACAACGAACCCAUUGGUUUCGAAUCAUCCGGAAAUCUGCAGAUUCCUUUGGCGAAUGGAAAUAUCAUGAAAAUACCUCUAACAAGUAUAAAUAUCAGUGAGGAAGUCAACAAAACUGGAAUCUGGCAGCAAGUGAACGAAGGAAACGAGAAAUCUAAACAAUCCAAGAUGAUUAAUGUAGGUAAGCAAAAAAAGCAUUCGAAAAAAGACGCUGUCCUGUCGACAGAUGAGACAACAAGGCUAACUACGAUGACUGAAGAAGAGGAAGAUGACGGUGGAAUAUCGAUCAAGGUGAAAAAUGUAAACAACUCAAAAUUUUAAUCACCACUACUACCAUCAAUACAACUACUGCUACUAAAACAACAACCAAGAUAAUAAACACACGGAAAGAGCACGAUUUACCGGCAUGCGACAUAACCUUAUGUAACACGGCUGUUGACUUGAUACGAUCAAAAGAUACUAGUCCUUUCAAGGCUAAUGGUACUACUUCCGCCGAAACUUCCGUCUAAUUUGUAUCAUCGAAAUCACAAAAAACAAUUACAAUUUAAAUAAAAGUAAGACCGAAAACCAAAUAUGUGAAUUAAACUGAUGAAGUGGAGCAUACUCGUCGAAUGAUCUCUCAAGACUUUCGAGGUUUUAUAUAAACUCAACUUAUAGCUAAAUGUAGAUUUGAUAGUUUGAAACAAAUAAGGAAAGAUUGAUAUACAUAUGCCAUGAGAUAAAAUAAUUUUUCAUACAAUUUUGAGUUUCGUUAGUACACAUUAGUUUUAAUACCGUUUUCUUUAUUGCCAAAAUGGUUUGUCAGUUGAUUCUAUUUGAAAAUUUGAAUCCUAUUUAAUAUUUCAAUGAAAUUGAAAGAAACAAUACGUAUGCACACACGUUUAUGAAAGUACCUACAUAAGUCUAGAAAAUAUGUCUGAGGAAAGUUUUACAAAGGUUAAAUCGUGUAAAAUGUCAUUACUUAACAUCACGUAUUACCGAAUAUAAAAAAAUACCGUUAUGUUCAUUCUAUUUACUUGUUAUUCGUGGGAUUGCACGUGUCAGUCAAUAGUGUCUGAUAAAAUUACAUCUUUUAGGUAAUAGUAAUUUUUCAUAAAAAUCAAUAUCAAUAAUGGACAGUUUUCAUUGCAUUUAACACAGAAACGCACAUUUUAAUAAUAAUAUAUAACUGUAUCAAUUUAUUCAUUUUGUUGAUGUAAGAAAUUAAACGAAUUAUUUAAUGCUUUUAGGAAAAAAUGGAGAAAGUUACGCAUUCAUUAAGUGACUAUUUAGGGCAAUGUAUCAUAGUAAUUAUUUUAUCAUUUAAACUUUCAAUUGGGUAUGAUUAGUUAAUUAAUAGUUUAAAAAUAGUGCUUACUAGUCAAAUUCAUUUGAAGAGAGCAAUGUUUUAUUAUAAGAACUUUAUUGUUACAAAUUGUACAGAGAAUGAUUCAAUUAAUGAUUAAGCAGAAUGCCAAAUAAACCCCACGUCAGUGCUUCCUUUGAAGAUUAUUCUUGACUUACAAAUGAAUUUCGCUAUAAUAAUAAGCAUUAACGUUGUUUGCAAUGAAAUUAUCAUAAAAUAUUAGUAAAAUAUACUCAUAUAUUUGUUAAGUUUGUGAUGAGAUGUACUUUUUGAAUAUAGGUUGUCUAUUUAAAUAUUCAGGUGAGAAGAAAAAUCUCGAAAUAAGAUUAUUUACAGGGAAUUAUAUCACAAUUCAAUGAUGACGGAUGUACUACAAGGGCGAAUGUAAUUUUAUAAUAAAUUAUAUUACUGUUGAUUAAACAUUGUAUUCAUGUAGGCAUUAUGAGAAAAAAAAUAUUUCAAGUAUUCUGUUAAUAAGUUGGUUUAUUUAAUAUUAACACAUAUAUUAUUGUUAUUUAAAAAUUUUCUAUGAUGUGUCGAAAAAUACCAAAGAAAGUAACAUAAAAUUACCAUAAUCAAUGACGUAAGAAUGAGUUGCAAAAUGUAUCGUUUUUAUUAAUUUGGUAUUAAUAGCAAAGUUUAUAUAAGAAUAUGUUCGAUAUUAAACCUGGUAGAUUAAAAGUAGUAGGAAUACUAGUAUUAAUAAUUGGUUGUGACUAGAAAAAUAUAAUGUUUUGAAUUCGGAAAAUGAAAAUUAUAUUAAUAUGGAUCUAUAAAUACAACAUAAUUAUUAAUAAUUUUGCCAAUUUGGUUUGUCUUUAUAAAAAAUCCUUUUUAUUAGAUACAAUUGCACAUACGUUGAUUUUUUUUAUUUUAAACAGACAUUCUUUUAUUUUAAAACAAGGUAGUUACUGUACUUUGUGUGGUAAAAAACGAUAUAAGUGUGGCAUUUUCGUCAUGAUCUUGUAUCGAUGUAAAUAAGUAAAUGCGUGUAUAGAUUAGGACAUAAACAUGGUUCAUGUAAUAAAAAGUCAUUGGUACUAACUUAAAUGCGUUUAAUUUAUUACAAGAGCGCUUCAAUCAUUUUACAGUGGUGUUGGUCUAAAAAAUUUAAUACAGAAGUGAUAUAGAUUAAAAAUUUACGUACAA